GGAGAGAAGAAUCAAUGUAUUUAAGAAAAAAGAAACACGUAUUAGAUUAUUUUAUACCUAUUAAUGACAGAAUGAACUAAAAGGAGUAAGUGUACUCCAGAAAAAAAGAAGAAAAACAUUAGAAUUUUUUGUCUUACAUUCAAGAAGGAUGGAUUUUCAAUGGAUUUUUAUUUUUUAUCACCAUGUACAGAAUCUGCUACAGAACCAAGGCCUGCUGGAUUUCCUCCGAAUGCUUCGUCUUGUUUCGGGUUUACUUGUCCUGAUUGGCCAUCUUCUGGUUUUUCUUCUUGCGAUAUUUGCUGCUCUUGGGAUGGUCUGAACAUUAACACAAUCAACAGCGUUAUGCCGAAUAAGUGAACGAAUUUCAUUUUUGGGUAUACAAUUUUUUCAGAAAUAUAAUUGUUUGUUUCGCAAAGAUGAACUGUUUUUUUUCGACUAGACGAAACACAUACGAUCGAAUUAUGUACUGAGUGAAGACUAAAAGACACCUCACGAUGUACUCUGAUUUUAUAGUCAGUAGAAUGCUUUCGGUAAAUGGUUAUACUUAUCUAAAAAUAAAGUGGUUCCUUAUCCCUGAUUUCAUUUUUAAAAGUACCUAUCCAUAUCUUAAUUUAAAAGGUUUAUUUUAGAUGAUGAAUGCCCAUUUAGUUAAAAGUCUUGCUAAUUGCCCUCGUGUGACGAAAUAUAUUAAGUGAGGAUUUGAGCUAUCUACUUAAGUGCAUUUGUUAUGAAAAUACACAUUAAGUGAUUAUUCAAUGAGGUCAUGUCGUGACCUAUUUUGAGAGUAAAUCAUGGGUUCAAUGUUACCUGAGAAAUCAAAUUAUUUGUGUGCAUGAGUGAGUGUGAUUAUUUUAAACCAAGUUUGAAUUGUUAAGUACUAACAGUGAUCAAAAAUUCUGUAAAAUCUGUAAAAUUGACGUUACACUGAACAUUCAAACCUCACUUUGAUAAAAAAUGAAACAUUUUAGAACGAUUUGUUGAAAUCUUUCGAUUGUAUGGUGUUUUUUUUUUUGGAUGGGAGAGAAUGGUAAAAAUAAAUUGAACGAUUCCAAACGAACGAGUGAUUGUAUUUAAGAAAAAUUAUCGAUAGGCAUGCUCAUAAAAAUCAGGUAUAACUGAGGAGAAAGCAAUAUUCACAGAGUUAUAUUUAAAUAUUUUUCAAUUCAAUAUUUUCUAACAUACAUACAAAUUAUUUCUCGUUAUGUGGCAUAUUUAAAAUUGGAGAAAAUAAAUUUAAAAAAAUCAUUGAUGGGUGUACUACAUACUUCUGUGGUCAAGUGUACCAAUUGUGAUGAAGAGAAGAAAAAAAAUCAUCUUACGUUCCAGAAAUAUUUUUAUCGCGUUUUAUUUUCUGCCCAUGGGCAAACCUCCACUGCCACCUUCAUCUUCUUGGUUUUCUCCUUCUUCCGGGGUUUCUUGUUGUUGUUGUUGAUCUUCUUCGCCUUCUCGAUUUUCACAACCUUCUUGCUGUUCUCCCGAUCUCUGCUCUCCUUCACCAUAUUGUUCAUUUUGUUGCCCUUCUUGCUCUCGUUCUUCUUCUCCUUCGCAUUGGUGGUUAGCCUGUGUUACUUGGCUGAAAGCGAACACGACGAACAAAGUGAUACCGAACACGAAAACAAAUUUCAUUUUUGAUACGAAUUUUUGUUUUUCCGCUUAUUUGCAAAAAAGUGAUUUAUUUUUUUGUAAGUGAACUAAAAACACAACGAUCGAAAGAUGUGCUGAGUGGAAACUAGUGUAAAAUUGACGAUCUGUUCUGCUUUUAUAGUCGGAAUGCCUUUCGGUGCAUGUAUGAAAAAAUGACGUGGUUCUUUUUUCUUGGCUUGUAUUAUUUUAUUUCAAAAUUUCAUUCGAGAUAAAUGUCCAUGUCCAUUUAGUUUGCUAUUUUUGUUAAUUGCUUGUAUGUAUGUGACGAAGUGUUGAGUGAUGAUUCGUAGUGUAGUAGGCACUAAUGUAGGAAAAUUACCUGGGUGCAUUCUCGUGAUGAAGAUAAGGUGGCUAAUGAGGUCACAAGGUGAACUACUUUGAAAGUAAUGGAUUCUAUUUCACUCGAAAAAUCAACCUGCGAAUGCACGAGUGGCUGAGAUUAUUUUUAAUUAGUUGUGAAGUGUGAAAAAUCGUGUGUUUUAUUUUAAUGAAUUACAAUUCUAAGUGUUUCUGUUUUCUAAAUUGGCCGUUUGAUCGAUUGGAAGAGGCAUCCUUACGUUAUUUUUGGGAGUAAAAUAGGUGAAAAUUUUGAGAUCAGGUGUUGAAUCCUUCAUACUCACUUAUGCCAUGCCAUAUUUUUAAAACGUUCAGAGUGGUUCAGAAAAAAAUUUCCUUGCGAAAGAUUUUACACACAUUCCUGGUAAAUUACCAGUAUUUUUUUUGGUAAUUUAGAUGAGCUGGAAUCGUCGCCAUCUUUCUUUCCUGAAUCCGAAUCUUUAUCUGAUUUUCCGCUAUCUGUUUCGUCUGGAGUUGUUUUUUCAGCCGGAAGCGAUUUCACUCCGAUGCUCAUCACCAAAGUAACCAAUAAGAUCAUACCGAACAAGUGAAUUCGAUUCAUUUUGAAUAAUUAAUUUAUGUUGUAAUUGGACGACUUGCUACUGCCAACUUUUCUUCAAAAUUUCGUUUGGAAAUUUUAUAUCGCAGCGAACUUCUUUUAUACUUGUCCUACCUAUAGGUAUUUUUGAAUACUAGAAUUUAAGUACGAGUUAUUUCCCUUGCGAUGGCCUAGAAUAAUGCAUUGAAAAAAUAAAACGCGAUUUCGUAAUAA